rnacentral:lncRNA from 1 species
AUGUUUCUCUUGGUCAAAAACACACUCAAGUCGUCUCCAAGUUCGAAGCAUUCAGCAAACAAUGGCAAGGCAGAGCCACCAGAAAGGUACACCUGAUUUUCAUGACAGAUAUGGUAAUGCUGUAUUAGCUAGUGGAGCCACUUUCUGUACUGCUGUAUGGACAAGUGUAGCAACACAAAUCGAAAUGGAAUGGAACCCAUCCCCUGUUAGCUGAGCCACCCCAAAAGGACGGAUAGAUCAGUGA